GACGAACGCUGGCGGCGUGCCUAAUACAUGCAAGUCGAACGAGAGCGACCGGUGCUUGCACUGGUCAAUCUAGUGGCGAACGGGUGAGUAACACGUGGGUAACCUGCCCAUCAGAGGGGGAUAACAUCCGGAAACGGAUGCUAAAACCGCAUAUGUCUUCGAGCCGCAUGGCUUGAAGAGGAACAGAGGCGCAAGCUUCUGCUGAUGGAUGGACCCGCGGUGCAUUAGCUAGUUGGUGAGGUAACGGCUCACCAAGGCCGUGAUGCAUAGCCGACCUGAGAGGGUGAUCGGCCACAUUGGGAGUGAGACACGGCCGAAACUCCUACGGGAGGCAGCAGUAGGGAAUCUUACGCAAUGGACGCAAGGCGGACGGAGCAAAGCCGAGUGAGUGAAGAAGGUUUUAGGAUCGGAAAACGCUGUUGUUAGAGAAGAACAAGUGCUAGAGUAACUGGGAGCGAAUUGACGGUACCUAACCAGAAAGCCACGGCUAAAUACGUG
rnacentral:rRNA from 1 species